GGUUGCGAUCAUACCAACACUAAUGCACCGGAUCCCAUCAGAACUCCGCAGUGAAGCGUGCUUGGGCGAGAGUAGUACUAGGAUGGGUGACCCCCUGGGAAGUCCUCGUGUUGCAACCCC
rnacentral:rRNA from 1 species